UAACACCCGAAGUCGGUGAGGUAACCUUUUGGAGCCAGCCGCCGAAGGUGGGACAGAUGAUUGGGGUGAAGUCGUAACAAGGUAGCCGUAUCGGAAGGUGCGGCUGGAUCACCUCCUUU
rnacentral:rRNA from 1 species